CCUACGGGAGGCAGCAGUCGAGAAUCAUUCACAAUGGGGGAAACCCUGAUGGUGCGACGCCGCGUGGGGGAAUGAAGUUCUUCGGAUUGUAAACCCCUGUCAUGUGGGAGCAAAUGAAAAAGAUAGUACCACAAGCGGAAGAGACGGCUAACUCGGUGCCAGCAGCCGCGGUAAUACAGAGGGCGCAAGCGUUAUUCGGAAUCACUGGGCGUAAAGCGUGCGUAGGCUGGUUCGCAAGGCGAGUGGGAAAGGCGCGGGCUAAACCCGCGGACGGCAACUGAGACUGGGAGACUAGAGUAUGGGAGGGGGAAGCGGAAUUCUCGGUGUAGCAGUGAAAUGCGUAGAUAUCGAGAGGAACACUCGUUGCGAAGGCGGGUUGCUGGACAUUAACUGACGCUGAGGCACGAAGGCGAGGGGAGCGAAAGGGAUUAGAUACCCGAGUAGUC
rnacentral:rRNA from 1 species